rnacentral:rRNA from 1 species
GACGAACGCUGGCGGCGUGCUUAACACAUGCAAGUCGAACGGAAAGGCCCCUUUGGGGGUACUCGAGUGGCGAACGGGUGAGUAACACGUGAGUAACCUGCCCUUGACUUCGGGAUAACUUCAGGAAACUGGGGCUAAUACCGGAUAGGAAUCCUUGCUGCAUGGUGGGGGUUGGAAAGCUUCGGCGGUUUUGGAUGGACUCGCGGCUUAUCAGCUUGUUGGUGGGGUAGUGGCUUACCAAGGCUUUGACGGGUAGCCGGCCUGAGAGGGCGACCGGCCACAUUGGGACUGAGAGACGGCCCAGGCACCUACGGGAGGCAGAAGUGGGGAAGAUUGCACAAUGGGCGGAAGCCUGAUGCAGCAACGCCGCGUGCGGGAUGACGGCCUUCGGGUUGUAAACCGCUUUCAGCAGGGGCGAAGCUUGUGGUGACGGUACCUGCAGAAGAAGCACCGGCUAACUACGUG